rnacentral:rRNA from 1 species
CCUACGGGUGGCUGCAGUGGGGAAUUUUGGACAAUGGGGGCAACCCUGAUCCAGCAAUGCCGCGUGAGUGAAGAAGGCCUUCGGGUUGUAAAGCUCUUUUGUCAGGGAAGAAACGGUAGUGGCUAAUAUCUAUUACUAAUGACGGUACCUGAAGAAUAAGCACCGGCUAACUACGUGCCAGCAGCCGCGGUAAUACGUAGGGUGCAAGCGUUAAUCGGAAUUACUGGGCGUAAAGCGUGCGCAGGCGGUUGUGUAAGUCAGAUGUGAAAUCCCCG